UUUUUUUUUUUUUUUUUUUAAAGACAUUGAGUUUAUUGUCCUUACUAGAGGACACAUGGUUUUUACCUUUUUUUAUCAAAAAUGAAAACCUGAAGUCAUUUUUAAAAAUUCUUUGUUUUGGAGUUCCCGUCGUGGCGCAGUGGUUAACGAAUCCGACUAGGAACCAUGAGGUUGCGGGUUCGGUCCCUUCCCUUGCUCAAACCUGUGGCCUCACGGAUACUAGUUGGGUUUGUUAACCACUGAGCCAAGAGGGGAACUCCCAGAGUAGAUUUUCUUGUGCUAUAGAGUAGCUUCUCCUUAAUCAUCUACUUUAUAUAGUAUAAACACUAAUUUUGAAUCACACAGAAAAGCCUAUUUCAUAUUAGCAUUACAUAUGAACGGAAUAAUAAGUACACAAUAUUUUAAAGAGUUUUGUUUUUUUUUAAAGAGUAUAUAAGUUUUAGGCAACGAGUUAAUUAGAUGCCUUGUUUGUCAAGUUUACCCCAUUUCCUGGCUAGACAGGGUCACUAAGCCAUUGCUAUAUUAGACUCAGUGAAUAUUAGCUUUCCAUGUGUAUUUGGGGAAAUGAAAACAUGUCCAAAUACACAUGCUUCUUGACAUUUUACUUCCUUUAAUUUUCGCUUUUUAAUCCAUUUCCCUUUAAGUCUUUAAUCAUCUUUCCAGUAAAGAUUUUCCCUUUCAUUCUGUUCAUGUGUCUGAGGAAUUAAAUAUCCUAUUCUCAGUGGUUUCAUGUAAUCAAAACCUCCCGAUUCAAACCCUGUGUGCAAUCUGCAGGGAGAAAUGAUUAAAAGCGCUUUGCAGAUUUGUUUACGCUCUGCUCAGAAUAAGAAAGUGCAGACUUUUAAAUAUCUGCGAAGAGACUGCCAAUCCAUUACCAUUCUGGAUGAACUUUCUGAACAAGACAUUUUCCAUUAUUUACAGUAUGAGAUGCUUGCAGUCAAGUUUCUGCUAGAAACACUUUUGGGUAAUAGAUGGCACAAAACGAGGCCACGUCGGUCGGUUUCAUGCGCACAAGCUCAUUAAAGUUUUAAACACCCAGACCAAACCACAACCUCUGGCAGCCAUUGCUGAAAGGCCCCAAAAGAUUCCCCAGCAGAAAUAAAGCCAUGGACACAGAUGAAAUUUAGGGCGUGGGGGUGUCGAGGAAGUGAGACAGCAAUUUUUAGAGUAUUUUUUUAUGUAAAUGCUUCCAAGGGACCGAUUCUUACCCUAAGAGUCUUCCAUGGCUGCAGUGGGGGCACCUCACUGAAAGAUUGAUUAUCCGAUGAUGAAGUAGGGACAACGAGUCAUGUUCUUUAAAAGCGACUGCUCAUGAAGGAAAGGAAAACACGGGCCUGUCAUUCAAGGAGACACAGGAUGGAGAGAGAUGCUCACAAGCACAGAGCUUGGAGAGCAACAGAUCUGGAUUUAAACCUCAGCUGCGCUGCACACCACUUGUGGGACCUAAAGCAAACCAGGGAACUUCUGUGCACGAGGUGGUAUGUGUCAAAUGGGGCAUAUCACUCCUAAUCUCAAAGGAAGACUGUACUUGACACAAACAUGAUUCCAUAAAAUGUGGAGCAAACUCUGGAGUACGUGCACGUAAAAAUUUUAACUAUGUUGAAUGCUAUUAUGAUUCUUCUAUCUAAUGGAUUGUAUUAACUGUGAAAAUUCUUCUAAUUUCCAGGCGUGUAAUUCAUUGUUUCUAGGUUUGAGUCUUAAAAUGACUGGCAUCAGCACUUUAACUGGUAGAUUUUAUACUGAGCAAUCAAGACACUCCAUUGCCAGAACUGAGAGUACACAGGGGACCCUGGGACAGCUCAGGAGUGAGGGGUACCAAUUCUCCUCGAAGUCAAAAACCUGCACAUAACUUUAUAAUCACGAAUCUGUAUCUAUGGUCCCACAUCCUAGAUUCAACCGACUGCGGAUUGUGCAGUACUGCAGCAUGUAUUUGUUGACAGAAAUCCAUGUGUAAGUGAACCCGCCAUUCAAACCCAUGUCUUUCAAAGGUCAACUCUAUGUAUUUUGUGUCUAUAACCACAAAUGAUCAGGAGCCGAGCAUAUUUAUAAGACAGUUACCAAAAAAACCAAAACAGACUUCUAGAGUAGGUUUUCUUAAGGAGAACCUACGAAAUCCUUCUUUUGCUUAAGCAAUGUACGCUCUAGGAAUGAUUUUAGGGAGCAUUAGCUGCACCAGAAAUGUGGAGAAGAGUGGAUACUUAAGUAUCGAGAGGAAUUUAAAAGUUAAUUGUUGGGGUUAGAGAAAGUAGGUUACCUGAAAUCAAGGAACGGGAGGAGGGUCAGGAGAGGAAGAAUUAACAUGCUGCUCCAGCCCUGAUGGUUAGACGAGGAAACGAGAGAAGUGGACAGUGAGAGAACCACGGGAAUAGAGAUUCACCCUUGGGAUGCCGAAGGGCCGGGGGUGCGCCGUGGCAGCAAACCCCCAGCAGGGCGCACCCUACGGUGAAAUUCAGACCAGGUUGAAAAAGAAGAGUCCUUACAUUCUGGGACGAAGGCCAGAGUUCAAAACCAAAAACAGGGGAUCAUUAUUGUAAUCUGGAAGGAUGCAUAUAACGCUAUUCACAUUCCAAGCCAGAAGCAGACUGUGCUCCGAAAGUUUACUAUUUUAUCCCCCUUAAACCAUAUAUAAAUUUCUCUGUUAUGACACUGAUACACAAGUUCUCUGUGAUUUAACUGUGAUUAUAAAUGCUGAGAGAACAGUGACCAAGAAAACAAGGUCUUAUAAAGAACAGACUUGUGGUUGUCAAGGCGGGGGGGGGGGGNGUAGAGGCAAACUAUGACAUUUAGAAUAGAUAAGCAAUGAGGUCCUGCUGUACAGCACAGGGACCUCUAUCCACUCUCUUGGGAUCGACCAUGAUGGAAGAUAAUAUUACAAAGGGAAUAUAUUUAUAUAUAUAUGACUGGGUCACUUUGCCAUACAGCAGAAACUGGCACAGCAUCAUAAAUCAACUAUAGUUUAAAAACAAUAAAAAGAUAAACAAAAGAAGAUAAGAUCUUUAACAAUGAAGGGCAAGUAAGUUUAACAAUCCUGAAACAAUAAUACGAGCUAAUAUUUAUUGAGCACUUAUCAGUUGCCAGGUACCGUAAUCUUAUUUUUUAAAGUGGAAAAAUGAAGCAGAGAUGCAUAACACCUGGUAAAUAGUACCAGCUUUAGUAACAGUGGGGAAAUUGAUUGUGUAUUAAGCUAGAGAGAGGGUCAGAGAGAGAAAAACAGAGAGAAAGACAGAAAGAGAGAGAUUUGGUAAGUUUAUGGAAAUACUUAGCAUUAGUUUCCUGACACAUAAAAUGAGAUUAAAAAUAUGAACUGGGGAAGGUUGUGAGGAAGAGUGGUAGGAGUUAAUGCAUAAUCUAUUAAAACCUUAAUAUGAGCAAGAACGGUUCCAAGUGCUUCACAAGGACAGCCCAUCCGUUUGCACAACAAAGCCAUGAGAAGAACACCCUUGACCUGCAACUGUACAGGUUAGGACACUGGGGGCAGGAAGGUGAAGGGACUUCUGCAGAAUGACUGUUAAUAAGUUGCAGAGUGGCUUUUUAGGCCAGGCAUUCCGGUCCCAAAGCCCAGUCUCUUCAAUACUAUAUGCUUUCCCAUCAAUACCACACUUAAGAUCUUAUUUAUACAUGUGAGCGUGCUUAGGUCUAUAUAAACUCAUACACAUUUUACACAUGCAUAUUAAAACGUGUUCAUAAUGUACAUAAAACAAAAUAAACUCCCCAUAGGCUAUUGUUGUUGUCAUUUUUAUUGCAAUUAUUAUUAUCAUUUCAUAGAAACUAAUUCUGUCCUACAGCUCAUUUCUGGAACCAGGACCCUUUAAGUCUUAGGGUAACCAUAGAAAAAAAGGAAAUAAAGAACAGGAGAAAAAUAAAAAAAUUUGACUGGCUUAUAGAGUUUUUGAUAUCGUGCUAUCUGAUUGGACAUAGAAGUGAGGCAAGUUUUUUCUGCCAUACUUCUGUAAGGACAUUCUACUUUCAUUCCAAAUAAAUUCUAGGCAAUUAGAAUACUAACAAGAACAAAAUAAACUUUAUCCACUUCCCAUCUUUUCACACUUUCAGCACUUUCCUUGGAGCAAAUCAAAUUCUGUUCUAGAAGAACAUCUAAAAGAUGAAGAUUCUACUGUUGCCUUUCGUCAGAGUUCAGACAUAACUAUGGAAGCUCCCCUCAUUUCAUUUCAUGAGUACAUACUCUCUUAGGACCUGUGCUAUAUAUACUUUGACCCAUCUGCCAAGUUCCCAAAUGCAAGGACAUACAAAUAACUGGAAAAUAUAUACAUACUGAUUAUGAUAAAACCUUUGGGGGAAAAAAAAAAAAAGCCCUGUUAGGGAGUUUCACACUGUUUAAUAUAAGAGUAGUAACUCAUAUCACCAGCUAAGGAGGCUAGAAUUCUUGUCUCAAUUCCAAUUCAGGGAACUCUCAAUAAUCAUCAAUAGAUCAAAUGAUUAUGCUAUGAAAAAAAAAUCUAUUUUUUACCCUUAAUUCCUAAAGAGAAGGUAGCACACAUCUCCUGUACAGUCUAUGAGGCAUCUGCCUGGACAUAGAUAUGGAUAAACUUCUAACAUGCCUUUGACCUCAGAUGGUCCUGUUUUGUGACAUUAAAGAAACAUCUGAUAUUCCAUGCUCCUGGGUUGGAAAAAUUAACAGCAUAAAAAUGGUCAUACUACCCAAAGCAAUCUACAGAUUCAAUGCAAUCCCUAUCAAAUUACCCCUGACAUUUUUUUCACAGAACUGGAACAAACAAUCUAAAAAUUUAUAUGGAACCACAAAAGAUCCUGAAUUGCCAAAGCAUUCCUGAGGAACAAAAACCACAUAGGAGGCAUAACUCUCCCAGACUUCAGGCAAUAUUACAAAGCCACAGUAAUCAAGACAGUGUGGUAAUGAUGCCAAAACAGACACACAGACCAAUGGGACAGAAUAGAGAGCCCAAAGAUAAACCCAGACACCUACAGUCAAUUAACUUCCACAAAGCAGGCAAGAAUAUAAAAUGGGAAAACGACGGUCUUUUCCAUAGGUGGUACUGGGACAACUGGACAGCUGCAUGCAAAUCAGUGAAACUAGAACACACUCUCACACCAUGCACCAAAAUAAACUCAAAAUGGCUUAAAAGACUUAAA
rnacentral:lncRNA from 1 species